CACGGGGUUGCGAGCGUUGUCCGGAAUUACUAGGCGUAAAGGGCAGGCAGGCGGAUCCAUAAGUUUAUCGUUUAAGGCGUCGGCUUAACCGGCGUAGGGCGGUAGAUACUGUGGAUCUGGAAUGCGGUUGGGGAAGACAGAAUUCCUGGCGUAGCGGUGGAAUGCGCAGAGAUCAGGAGGAAUACCAAAGGCGAAGGCAGUCUUCCAAGCCGUUAUUGACGCUCAACUGCGAAGGUGUGGGUAUCAAACAGGAUUAGAUACCCUGGUAGUCCCUGA
rnacentral:rRNA from 1 species